UUCUCUCCAGAGUUUCUAACAUAAUCUUGGGAAUUAGUGGCUAACACCUGGAGGGGACAGGUUCCACAAACGGUCAACUAUGUAAGAAGAGAGGUCCACCAGAUGGUUGAGAAGCUUUAGUCACUAUAAGCACUAUUUGCAUUGAGCGUGUUGGUGGAAUGUUGAGAGGGAAAAACUAUGCAUUCACUGUGAAGCUUUAAAUUCAAAAGAUGUGGUUUGCAGGUUACAAUUAGGAGAACAAUAUAAUUGGGCAACAUCCAUCUCCUAUAUCCCACAGGCAUGCUUCUCCCAUGCCAAGAGCAGAAUUAAUCACAAGGCAGCCGCCUAGGAUACAGAGGUUGGACAGGGGCCCCGGAACCAUGAAUUUGCUUGUCAUACUUAACCAUCCUUAUGUGAAGAAUGAAUGGGGGGAGUAACUGGUAACCUG